CACUCGUUUACUUGGCGUAUAUUCUAAACUUAAUGUUCUGAUUCAGUAACCACAGACUUUAAGAAUUUCGAAGAAGAAACCAUGCCAUUUCUAUAUGUCUAAUAUUCCAUUUUAUGACUUGAAUUAAUUAAAACACAAACUGAAAUCUUUCAAGUGAAGUUGUUUGAGUUUCUUGGAAAAGCCAAAUACAUAGUAUCUUCAUGAGAAAAAAAGAAAAAAAACAAACAUACUGUGUUUACCUGACAAAAAGUCAGCAAAGCAAUUCAUGAGAGUGUGAAAGAUUUAAUUAGUCAGCAAUGUUGUUUUUUACUUCACUAAAUACUGAUUUUGCUUUUACUCAUUUAUUUCGUUUUAUGUUGGAUUGAGUUGGCUGAAUUGGUGAUGUUGCGUAGAUAAAUGAAUCUACAUUUAGAGGUUAUCCUUUCUCCUGGCAUUGGGUAUCCUGUGGAUGGUUAAUCUUUCCUCUUUCUUUUCCUCAUUUCCUCCUCAUUUGAGGAAGAAAUCAGCAGGAUCAGCUCUGCCCUUUUCUCCAUCUUUUGUUGGAUCUGCCUGCCUGUAAAGAGGGUGCAAUCUGACUGUGGUGUAUUGAUUGCAAAUUGGCCCAAGCCCCUACUUGCCCUGUUUUGAUGCCCUUGCAAUGUUAUUUUCAGUUCCUUCCUUCAAGAUGUGCAGUCUAUUUUUGCACGCCUUGGAUAUAGACUGGUUUUGUGACUUGCUUAGGUUAGCAGGAGGCAGGAGAAAUGACAGUAUGUUUGUGCUUUCCUGGCUCUCUUUGAACCCUACUGUGCCAUAAGAACAAGCCCAGACUAAUCUGCUGGAGAGAGAGAAACUACUUGCAGCAGAAAGAGUUGUCCCUACUGAUGGCAUCCUAAGCCGGCCAGACCCCACCCAGCUGACCUGCCAGCUAACUCUGAUUGUACAAUGUCACAAAAAUGCAUGUCCACUCAGAACUUGGGAAUGUGACCUUCUUGAAUACAAGGCCUUUGCAGAUGUAAUCAGAUUAUGAUGAGGUGCUACUGGACUAAAGGUGGCCCUAAGUCCAAUAACUGGUGUCCUUAUAAGGAGAGGGGAUUUGGAGACAGAACAAAGACACAGAGAGAGGAACACCAUGUGAAGAUGGCGGCAGAGGUUGGAGUGAUGCAUCCAAGGAAGAGGAAAGACUGAAGCAACCGCUAGAAGCUGAGAGAGUGGUAUGGAACAGUUUGUUUUUCAGAGUCUCAGAUGGAGCAUGGCCCUGCUAACACCUUGAUGUGGCCAUUGAGCUUGCAGAACUGUGAGAGAAUAAAUUUCUGCUGCUUAAAGCCACCAAGUGUGCGGUAAUUAAUACACCUGCAACAAGAGCUCAGGGAUACUCAUCCUUCUGGCUAAGUGAGUGACCAUACUUGUUU
rnacentral:lncRNA from 1 species